rnacentral:rRNA from 1 species
GACGAACGCUGGCGGCGUGCUUAACACAUGCAAGUCGAACGGAAAGGCCCUGCUUUUGUGGGGUGCUCGAGUGGCGAACGGGUGAGUAACACGUGAGUAACCUGCCCUUGACUUUGGGAUAACUUCAGGAAACUGGGGCUAAUACCGGAUAGGAGCUCCUGCUGCAUGGUGGGGGUUGGAAAGUUUCGGCGGUUGGGGAUGGACUCGCGGCUUAUCAGCUUGUUGGUGGGGUAGUGGCUUACCAAGGCUUUGACGGGUAGCCGGCCUGAGAGGGUGACCGGCCACAGUGGGACUGGGAUACGGCCCAGCCUCCUACGGGAGGCAGCAGUGGGGAAUAUUGCACAAUGGGCGGAAGCCUGAUGCAGCAACGCCGCGUGCGGGAUGACGGCCUUCGGGUUGUAAACCGCUUUCGCCUGUGACGAAGCGUGAGUGACGGUAAUGGGUAAAGAAGCACCGGCUAACUACGUG